UACGGAGGAUGCGAGCGUUAUCCGGAUUUACUGGGUGUAAAGGGAGCGCAGGCGGCGCGUUAAGUCUGAUGUGAAAACCCGCGGCUCAACUGCGGGACUGCAUUGGAAACUGGCGGGCUUGAGUGCCGGAGAGGCAAGCGGAAUUCCUAGUGUAGCGGUGAAAUGCGUAGAUAUUAGGAGGAACACCGGUGGCGAAGGCGGCUUACUGGACCGUAACUGACGUUGAGGCUCGAAAGCGUGGGGAGCAAACAGG
rnacentral:rRNA from 1 species